GUGGUAGUGAUGGUGGUGGUGGUAGGUAUAGGAAGAACCGACGCGAAUAGUACGACGACGAUGGUUACAUUCUACGGAUCAGAGAGCUCGAUAGCGUGCCGAAGUCGAGGCGAACGGCAAUAAAUCCAUUUUUCGUGAAGGGUCGGUCGAGGGGCGAGAGCGAGCCAGGGUCUGAUUAGCAGCCUGACUCGGCCGUACAGGAUGACAGCCGGUAGAGGAGCUGGAUGAAGACGACGUUUGUGUAGUAGAGCUGGAAGAGAAGGUGGGUGGAGGAGAGGAAGAGAAAGGACGGUAUAGCAGCAGCAGCAGCAGCGGUAACAGUAGCAGUACCAGCACCACUACUACCAGCACCACCAACACCAGCAGAAGCAGCAGAAGCAGCAGCAACAGCAGCAGCAACAGCAGAGCGGGUGGACGUGGCCGCUAUCUGCACCGUGCCUGACACCUGACGGAUAGCCUGGCGUCGGCAACGCGGGAUAUUAAUUUGGUCAUCGCCGAAGGGUCCUGUGUUUCCUGCCGCCAGAGGACCUCGCCGAACAGGAAUCGCAUUCAGAUUAUACGAGUCAACCUGAAACUACUGUCAACUUCAUCGUCAUUUCUUCCAUAUUUAAAAAGUAUAUUCUUUUCUUUGAUCGAUAUACAGAAUAUACCGUUCUUUUAGAUAUCGAUCGAUCUGAUUUUCAUAUCUUUAAAUAGCACAAAUCAAAGCUCAGUAUAGUCAAGAAAAAAAGAGGAGAUCGUAAGAGAGAAAGAGAAAGAGAGAGAGAGAGAGAGAGAGAGAGAGAGAGAGAGAGAGAGAGAGAGAGAGUGAGAGAGAGAUAAAGAAGGAAUGAUUUUUUCGAACCGGUCAACGUAAUAAAUUUUUAUGGUGUCGAGAAGAAAAGAAAAGAAAAGAAAAGAAAAGAAAAGAGAAGAGAAGAGAGAUGAAAGAGAAGGGAGAAAAGAGAGAAGGGAAAAGAAAGGAAGGAAGGAGGAGACGUAGGCACGUAUUUAAAGGGAUAAUGGCUCUCACGAAAUAGCAGACAGCUCCAUUCGCAAUACAUUAUCGUUCGCGUAUUCGCGGGUGUGCAAGGAAAUGGCAUAUUUUGUGACAGCUCUGAUCGACGACUCCUCGGUGACGCGGCUUCGAGGAGAUAUACACACACACACACACACACAUAUAUAUAUAUAUAUACAUAUAUAUAUAUACAGAGGUUCGAGGAAGAGGAGGAGAAGGGUCGAAGAGAAGUAGGAUGCGGAGGUAGAGACGAAGGCUUCUACCUUCAGCCCCGAUCGACCCACCUAAGCCGCGUUACUUCUGACGUGUGAUAGAUGGAUGCACAAUGGAAGAACACGCGCUCGCUCUGGCGCGCGCGCGCACGCCCUCGUCCUCUCUGCUCACCGCCGCGUCGCACGGAAUACGUGUCCAUCCAUGUGCGUCUAUGUAUUAGUAUCCAACGUAGGUGGAUGAGGAUGAAUGGCUCUCGUCAAACGGAAGGGACCGCCCGCCGCUUCGCGCCAUAAUACUCGUCCGCGUAAGAGGCAUAGUAGGUCGGCUUAUUGAUGACCACUCGGCUACUUACCUACGAGAGAACAAGCUAUUUACCGGUUCGAGAGUCCUCCUCUCUCUUGGCAAUUCAUACCCACCCAAAAACGAAUCUAUCGGAGUCGAUAUCGUUCUCUUAUCGAGGCCAAAAAGAUAAACCGGUCAAUUAAUUAAUUCGAUAUAUUUACAUACGUAUAUAGUUCGUUGAUAAUUCGUAAAUAUUCUUCACGUCAAACGAAUCUUCGAGACAUUGUUAUAAAUCGAACAGGUGAUAUUAUUACAUUUGAACUUAGGAUUUAUCGUAGGAAUUAUACCAUUUUACAUGAUACAUGUUGUUAAGUAGAUAAUAUAACCGAUCGAUCCGUAGACGUGAGUAUCUAUCGAUAUAAUGAAGUUCUUUUUUUUAUUUCCUUUUCUUUUCAUUUUUCUCUCC